GCGGAUGAAGGUAGCUUGCUACCUGAUUCAGCGGCGGACGGGUGAGUAAUGCCUAGGAAUCUGCCUGGUAGUGGGGGACAACGUUUCGAAAGGAACGCUAAUACCGCAUACGUCCUACGGGAGAAAGUGGGGGAUCUUCGGACCUCACGCUAUCAGAUGAGCCUAGGUACGAUUAGCUAGUUGGUGAGGUAAAGGCUCACCAAGGCGACGAUCGUUAACUGGUCUGAGAGGAUGAUCAGUCACACUGGAACUGAGACACGGUCCAGACUCCUACGGGAGGCAGCAGUGGGGAAUAUUGGACAAUGGGCGAAAGCCUGAUCCAGCCAUGCCGCGUGUGUGAAGAAGGUCUUCGGAUUGUAAAGCACUUUAAGUUGGGAGGAAGGGCAGUAAGUUAAUACCUUGCUUGUUUUGACGUUACCGACAGAAUAAGCACCGGCUAACUCGUGCCAGCAGCCGCGGUAAUACGAAGGGUGCAAGCGUUAAUCGGAAUUACGUGGCGUAAAGCGCGCGUAGGUGGUUUGU
rnacentral:rRNA from 1 species